UAAGCGACUAAGCGUACACGGUGGAUGCCUAGGCAGUCAGAGGCGAUGAAGGGCGUGCUAAUCUGCGAAAAGCGUCGGUAAGCUGAUAUGAAGCGUUAUAACCGACGAUACCCGAAUGGGGAAACCCAGUGCAAUACGUUGCACUAUCGUUAGAUGAAUACAUAGUCUAACGAGGCGAACCGGGGGAACUGAAACAUCUAAGUACCCCGAGGAAAAGAAAUCAACCGAGAUUCCCCCAGUAGCGGCGAGCGAACGGGGAGGAGCCCAGAGUCUGAAUCAGUUUGUGUGUUAGUGGAAGCGUCUGGAAAGUCGCACGGUACAGGGUGAUAGUCCCGUACACCAAAAUGCACAGGCUGUGAACUCGAUGAGUAGGGCGGGACACGUGACAUCCUGUCUGAAUAUGGGGGGACCAUCCUCCAAGGCUAAAUACUCCUGACUGACCGAUAGUGAACCAGUACCGUGAGGGAAAGGCGAAAAGAACCCCGGCGAGGGGAGUGAAAUAGAACCUGAAACCGUGUACGUACAAGCAGUGGGAGCACCUUCGUGGUGUGACUGCGUACCUUUUGUAUAAUGGGUCAGCGACUUAUAUUUUGUAGCAAGGUUAACCGAAUAGGGGAGCCGUAGGGAAACCGAGUCUUAACUGGGCGUCUAGUUGCAAGGUAUAGACCCGAAACCCGGUGAUCUAGCCAUGGGCAGGUUGAAGGUUGGGUAACACUAACUGGAGGACCGAACCGACUAAUGUUGAAAAUUAGCGGAUGACUUGUGGCUGGGGGUGAAAGGCCAAUCAAACCGGGAGAUAGCUGGUUCUCCCCGAAAGCUAUUUAGGUAGCGCCUCGUGAACUCAUCUUCGGGGGUAGAGCACUGUUUCGGCUAGGGGGCCAUCCCGGCUUACCAAACCGAUGCAAACUCCGAAUACCGAAGAAUGUUAUCACGGGAGACACACGGCGGGUGCUAACGUCCGUCGUGAAGAGGGAAACAACCCAGACCGCCAGCUAAGGUCCCAAAGUCAUGGUUAAGUGGGAAACGAUGUGGGAAGGCACAGACAGCCAGGAUGUUGGCUUAGAAGCAGCCAUCAUUUAAAGAAAGCGUAAUAGCUCACUGGUCGAGUCGGCCUGCGCGGAAGAUGUAACGGGGCUAAACCAUGCACCGAAGCUGCGGCAGCGACACUUAGGUGUUGUUGGGUAGGGGAGCGUUCUGUAAGCCGUUGAAGGUGACCUGUGAGGGUUGCUGGAGGUAUCAGAAGUGCGAAUGCUGACAUAAGUAACGAUAAUGCGGGUGAAAAACCCGCACGCCGGAAGACCAAGGGUUCCUGUCCAACGUUAAUCGGGGCAGGGUGAGUCGACCCCUAAGGCGAGGCUGAAAAGCGUAGUCGAUGGGAAACAGGUUAAUAUUCCUGUACUUGGUGUUACUGCGAAGGGGGGACGGAGAAGGCUAGGCUGGCCGGGCGACGGUUGUCCCGGUUUAAGCGUGUAGGGGAGUGACCAGGUAAAUCCGGUUGCUUAUCAACCCUGAGGCGUGAUGACGAUGCACCACGGUGCAGAAGCAGUUGAUGCCAUGCUUCCAGGAAAAGCCUCUAAGCAUCAGGUAACAUUAAAUCGUACCCCAAACCGACACAGGUGGUCAGGUAGAGAAUACUCAGGCGCUUGAGAGAACUCGGGUGAAGGAACUAGGCAAAAUGGUGCCGUAACUUCGGGAGAAGGCACGCUGGCGUUAGGUGAAAGGACUAGCUCCUGGAGCUGAAGCCAGUCGCAGAUACCAGCUGGCUGCAACUGUUUAAUAAAAACACAGCACUGUGCAAACACGAAAGUGGACGUAUACAGUGUGACGCCUGCCCGGUGCUGGAAGGUUAAUUGAUGGGGUCAGCCGCAAGGGGAAGCUCUUGAUCGAAGCCCCAGUAAACGGCGGCCGUAACUAUAACGGUCCUAAGGUAGCGAAAUUCCUUGUCGGGUAAGUUCCGACCUGCACGAAUGGCGUAAUGAUGGCCAGGCUGUCUCCACCCGAGACUCAGUGAAAUUGAACUCGCUGUGAAGAUGCAGUGUACCCGCGGCAAGACGGAAAGACCCCGUGAACCUUUACUAUAGCUUGACACUGAACAUUGAGCCUUGAUGUGUAGGAUAGGUGGGAGGCCUUGAAGUGUGGACGCCAGUCUGCAUGGAGCCAACCUUGAAAUACCACCCUUUAAUGUUUGAUGUUCUAACUCGGCCCCAUGAUCUGGGGUGAGGACAGUGUCUGGUGGGUAGUUUGACUGGGGCGGUCUCCUCCCAAAGAGUAACGGAGGAGCACGAAGGUUAGCUAAUCACGGUCGGACAUCGUGAGGUUAGUGCAAAGGCAUAAGCUAGCUUGACUGCGAGAGUGACGGCUCGAGCAGGUACGAAAGUAGGUCUUAGUGAUCCGGUGGUUCUGAAUGGAAGGGCCAUCGCUCAACGGAUAAAGGUACUCCGGGGAUAACAGGCUGAUACCGCCCAAGAGUUCAUAUCGACGGCGGUGUUUGGCACCUCGAUGUCGGCUCAUCACAUCCUGGGGCUGAAGUAGGUCCCAAGGGUAUGGCUGUUCGCCAUUUAAAGUGGUACGCGAGCUGGGUUUAGAACGUCGUGAGACAGUUCGGUCCCUAUCUGCCGUGGGCGUUGGAAGAUUGAGAGGGGCUGCUCCUAGUACGAGAGGACCGGAGUGGACGAAUCACUGGUGUUCGGGUUGUCAUGCCAAUGGCAUUGCCCGGUAGCUAAAUUCGGAAGAGAUAACCGCUGAAAGCAUCUAAGCGGGAAACUUGCCUCGAGAUGAGUCUUCCCUGGGGCUUAAAGCCCCUGAAGGAACGUUAAAGACUAUGACGUUGAUAGGCUGGGUGUGUAAGUGCAGCGAUGUAUUGAGCUAACCAGUACUAAUGAUCCGUGAGGCUUAACCU
rnacentral:rRNA from 1 species